UUGCCAAUGCCUAUGAUUUUUUUCUUUCCACAAGCAGCAUUGACCAAAGUUGUUUUUGAUCAGUUGGUUGAGAGACAGGUGUUGAUCAUGGGGUGCAGAUUGAAGAAGCUAUGUUUCUGGAAAAUUAAUUUCAUUGUAAUUAUAAGAGUAGGAAGGUGAUGGAGACAUUCAACCAAUUGUGGCAGUUUCCCAAUCAGCUCAACCCUUGGAAGGUGAUGCCAUGCGAGGAAAGCUUUUAACGAAUCUGCAGCUGAAAGGUUCUUUGGGAUCAAGCAAACUUCAACACUGCAGGAUUUUGGCACACUCUCUCCCCCGGCUUUGUAAAAGUUUCUCUCCUGAAUGUGAUCAUUUGGGUGACUUAGAGUUCCCUGUUGAGAGAAAAGAGAUUAUGGUUUAACAUUUGGAAGAACCUUUUGUCUUCUUUGUUUUGUAGUUGUGGCUUUGCUAAUUUAUUCUCAUCAUUGUUUCUUGCAU